rnacentral:misc_RNA from 1 species
AACGCACAUUGCGCCCGGUGGUAUUCCGCCGGGCAUGCCUGUUCGAGCGUCAUUUAAACCAAUCCAGCCUCGUGCUUGGGUCUUGGGCCUUUCGCCUCUGGGCGGGCCUCAAAAUCAGUGGCGGUGCCUUCUGGCUCUAAGCGUAGUAAUACUCCUCGCUAUGGAUGUCAGGUGGUGUCUUGCCAGCAACCCCUAAUUUUUUAAGGUUGACCUCGGAUCAGGUAGGGAUACCCGCUGAACUUAA